rnacentral:rRNA from 1 species
CCUACGGGGGGCAGCAGUGAGGAAUAUUGGUCAAUGGACGAGAGUCUGAACCAGCCAAGUAGCGUGAAGGAUGACUGCCCUAUGGGUUGUAAACUUCUUUUAUAUGGGAAUAAAAUGUUCCACGUGUGGGAUUUUGUAUGUACCAUAUGAAUAAGGAUCGGCUAACUCCGUGCCAGCAGCCGCGGUAAUACGGAGGAUCCGAGCGUUAUCCGGAUUUAUUGGGUUUAAAGGGAGCGUAGGUGGAUUGUUAAGUCAGUUGUGAAAGUUUGCGGCUCAACCGGAAAAUUGCAGUUGAAACUGGCAGUCUUGAGUACAGUAGAGGUGGGCGGAAUUCGUGGUGUAGCGGUGAAAUGCGUAGAUAUCACGAAGAACUCCGAUUGCGAAGGCAGUUCACUGGACUGCAACUGACACUGAGGCUCGAAAGUGUGGGUAUCAAACAGGAUUAGAUACCCGAGUAGUC